AUGCAAAUUAACGUCUGCUUUCUGAGAGUUAGCGUCCGUUCUUUUAAACUGACGCUAAUUAGCGUCCGUUUAGUUAAAAUACCGUCCGUCUGUCGGACGCUAGAUACGAGGUAUAAAUAAAAGAAAAAAAACUCCAGUCGACCAAACUAUCAACCCUAACCCACGCCUCUCUCUUCCUCACUCUCAUCUCACGUUUCUCUCUUCCUCACUCUCAUCUCACGUUUUGGUGCUCUCUCUUUCUUGCAAAUCUCACGAAAUCAGAUCUGGUUUUCGGGUGUUCGUACUGUGAAGUCUGAUGUUUACAGUUUCGGGGUGGUGGUUUUGGAGGUGGUCUCCGCCUCUCCGGAAGAAGGCCAGUGGUCGAUAAACAGCUUGCUUGGAAUUGCAAACGACACUGUUCAGGAGUCGUCUGGAUUUCUUAGCUUCAAUCGAGUCAUGAGUCUCGACAGUUUAGAAGUUGAUCUCAGUGCUUCUCUUAAAGCAACUCCGAAGCCAUAAUUAGUACAGCAAGUUUUAACACCCAAAAAUACGCAAGUUCCUACACGAAGAUGGAAAUUGGCACCUACUAAACGUGAGCAGGAGAAAUGGGAUAAAGCAUACAAGGCUGUGACUGGGGGCACUGUAAGUAACGAUUAGCACUUAAACUACAGGCAGUGCAACCAACAGAAGAAAUGAUUCACAAGGAGAAAGGCAGGAAAAGUCGACAAGUUCAAGCAGUUUGAAGAAGUUGAUGCUAUGUAUAAUGAUGGGUGGU